rnacentral:rRNA from 1 species
UACGUAGGGGGCGAGCGUUGUCCGGAUUUAUUGGGCGUAAAGAGCGUGUAGGCGGCCAGGUAGGUGGGUUGUGAAAACUGGAGGCUCAACCUUCAGACGUCGACCCAAACCCCCUUGGCUAGAGUCCGGAAGAGGAGAGUGGAAUUCCUGGUGUAGCGGUGAAAUGCGCAGAUAUCAGGAAGAACACCCCGUGGCGAAGGCGGCUCUCUGGGGACGGUACUGACGCUGAGACGCGAAAAGCGUGGGGGAGCGAACAGG